ACGAACGCUGGCGGCGUGCUUAACACAUGCAAGUCGAGGGUAGCAAUACACUGGCGCAAGGGUGCGUAACGCGUAGAUUAUCUGCCCCAUACACUAACAUAACGCUUGGAAACGGGUGCUAAUAUUAGAUGAGGUGCUUCGGCAUCAAAGUUUCGACGGUAUGGGAUGAGUCUGCGUCUGAUUAGCUAGUUGGUAGUGUAAUGGACUACCAAGGCGACGAUCAGUAGCUGGUCUGAGAGGACGAUCAGCCACACUGGAACUGAGACGCGGUCCAGACUCCUACGGGAGGCAGCAGUGAGGAAUUUUGCGCAAUGGACGAAAGUCUGACGCAGCGACGCCGCGUGUGGGAUGAAGGGGCUACGCCCUGUAAACCACUGUUAGAUGUGAAAAAAAGAUGGCUUUGCCGUCCGGGAUUGUAACAUCAAAGAAAGGACCGGCUAACUACGUG
rnacentral:rRNA from 1 species